ACAUGCAAGUCGAGCGGACAGAUGGGAGCUUGCUCCCUGAUGUUAGCGGCGGACGGGUGAGUAACACGUGGGUAACCUGCCUGUAAGACUGGGAUAACUCCGGGAAACCGGGGCUAAUACCGGAUGGUUGUUUGAACCGCAUGGUUCAAACAUAAAAGGUGGCUUCGGCUACCACUUACAGAUGGACCCGCGGCGCAUUAGCUAGUUGGUGAGGUAACGGCUCACCAAGGCGACGAUGCGUAGCCGACCUGAGAGGGUGAUCGGCCACACUGGGACUGAGACACGGCCCAGACUCCUACGGGAGGCAGCAGUAGGGAAUCUUCCGCAAUGGACGAAAGUCUGACGGAGCAACGCCGCGUGAGUGAUGAAGGUUUUCGGAUCGUAAAGCUCUGUUGUUAGGGAAGAACAAGUACCGUUCGAAUAGGGCGGUACCUUGACGGUACCUAACCAGAAAGCCACGGCUAACUACGUGCCAGCAGCCGCGGUAAUACGUAGGUGGCAAGCGUUGUCCGGAAUUAUUGGGCGUAAAGGGCUCGCAGGCGGUUUCUUAAGUCUGAUGUGAAAGCCCCCGGCUCAACCGGGGAGGGUCAUUGGAAACUGGGGAACUUGAGUGCAGAAGAGGAGAGUGGAAUUCCACGUGUAGCGGUGAAAUGCGUAGAGAUGUGGAGGAACACCAGUGGCGAAGGCGACUCUCUGGUCUGUAACUGACGCUGAGGAGCGAAAGCGUGGGGAGCGAACAGGAUUAGAUACCCUGGUAGUCCACGCCGUAAACGAUGAGUGCUAAGUGUUAGGGGGUUUCCGCCCCUUAGUGCUGCAGCUAACGCAUUAAGCACUCCGCCUGGGGAGUACGGUCGCAAGACUGAAACUCAAAGGAAUUGACGGGGGCCCGCACAAGCGGUGGAGCAUGUGGUUUAAUUUCGAAGCAACGCGAAGAACCUUACCAGGUCUUGACAUCCUCUGACAAUCCUAGAGAUAGGACGUCCCCUUCGGGGGCAGAGUGACAGGUGGUGCAUGGUUGUCGUCAGCUCGUGUCGUGAGAUGUUGGGUUAAGUCCCGCAACGAGCGCAACCCUUGAUCUUAGUUGCCAGCAUUCAGUUGGGCACUCUAAGGUGACUGCCGGUGACAAACCGGAGGAAGGUGGGGAUGACGUCAAAUCAUUCAUGGCCCCCUUAUGACCUGGGCUACACACGUGCUACAAUGGACAGAACAAAGGGCAGCGAAACCGCGAGGUUAAGCCAAUCCCACAAAUCUGUUCUCAGUUCGGAUCGCAGUCUGCAACUCGACUGCGUGAAGCUGGAAUCGCUAGUAAUCGCGGAUCAGCAUGCCGCGGUGAAUACGUUCCCGGGCCUUGUACACACCGCCCGUCACACCACGAGAGUUUGUAACACCCGAAGUCGGUGAGGUAACCUUUUAGGAGCCAGCCGCCGAAG
rnacentral:rRNA from 1 species